rnacentral:piRNA from 1 species
UGGGUCCUGACUUGAAUGACUUUGCUCCCU